GUCCACGCCCUAAACGUUGAUUACUCGUUGUUGGCGAUAUACAGUCAGCUACCAAGCUAAAGCGUUAAGUAAUCCACCUGGGAAGUACGACCGCAAGGUUGAAACUCAAAGGAAUUGACGGGGGCCCGCACAAGUGGAGGAGCAUGUGGUUUAAUUCGAUGAUACGCGAGUAACCUUACCUGGGCUUGAAAGUUAGUGACGUUCUGUGAAAGCAGAAUUCCCUUCGGUGCACAAAACUAGGUGCUGCAUGGCUGUCGU
rnacentral:rRNA from 1 species